ensembl:lncRNA
GAAAAAUCUCUUUCUGGAGAUCACUCCCUUUGGAGUUUUUUUCUGUGAGCCUAGGAUACAGGCCUGAGUCUUUUGGUGAAUUAAAUCAUCUUUGAUGAAUCUUGCCUGGCCCAGCUGAGAAGCCUUGAUGAUGACUUAGGCCACUUCUACAAAGCACCAUGGCAGCUCUUUUCUUUUCGAAUGAAAAAUACUAAUUUUUCACAGGAAGCAGAAAGAGGAAGAGACUGCAGUGAUGGAGUUUAGCUAUCCAUCAUGGUGAAACUGUCAGAGGAGCUGAGCAUGGUUCCUUGGCAUGCUUCCUAGAGGAAAGUGUUUCACCAGUCAAAAGCAGAGAUAGCCACAAGCAACUACCUCAAACGUGUUUUAACAUUUGGAGCUGAAGAACGUAUUCCAGCGGUUAAACGUGCCUCUAACUUGAGGGACAGAGAAAUGUGCUUAAAGAACAUGGCUUAAAGAAACCUUCCCUCCCUACUACUUGAAGUAGAAGUGAGAUUGCCCUCUGCAACACCUGACCAUCAGAUCAAUGACUUCAGCACUUAUACCCACUUCAUAAGCACUGGGCAGCUGCUGCAAUGCUUGCAACGCUCUUGAUGUCACUGCUGGGUUUAAGCCAAUGAUGUAUUUUAUGAUUAGAGAUUUUGUUUUCCACUGGAACAACUUCAAGGCUUUUUCAUCACUAGCUCAUGUUUGUUCCUUACACCAGCGGAGAGAAAAUAAGUGAGUGGUGGAGAACAAUCUGUGCCAGAUACUGACGGCACUGUCUGUCUCACCAGCCCUCAGCCGUGCUGAUCUUACAAAAACUCAGAAGCUUGCUGAGGAUUUUAUUUCUGAAUAUAGGAAAACACCAAAAUGAGGGCAUUUAAGUGAGAGGUUGGACUCUCCUCCCUUCCCUUCUUGUAGCAUGCAUAAACGAGGCCUUCUCCCACCCCAGCCCCUUCAGUGGGUCUGUGUGCAUCCCAAGAGGCAGAGCAGAGCAUUUCCUAAACACAAUAAACAUUACUCUGUCAUG